rnacentral:rRNA from 1 species
GAUGAACGCUGGCGGCGUGCCUAACACAUGCAAGUCGAGCGAACAGACGAGGAGCUUGCUCCUCUGACGUUAGCGGCGGACGGGUGAGUAACACGUGGAUAACCUACCUAUAAGACUGGGAUAACUUCGGGAAACCGGAGCUAAUACCGGAUAAUAUAUUGAACCGCAUGGUUCAAUAGUGAAAGACGGUUUUGCUGUCACUUAUAGAUGGAUCCGCGCCGCAUUAGCUAGUUGGUAAGGUAACGGCUUACCAAGGCAACGAUGCGUAGCCGACCUGAGAGGGUGAUCGGCGACACUGGAACUGAGACACGGUCCAGACUCCUACGGGAGGCAGCAGUAGGGAAUCUUCCGCAAUGGGCGAAAGCUUGACGGAGCAACGCCGCGUGAGUGAUGAAGGUCUUCGGAUCGUAAAACUCUGUUAUUAGGGAAGAACAAAUGUGUAAGUAACUAUGCACGUCUUGACGGUACCUAAUCAGAAAGCCACGGCUAACUACGUG